AUACUUACCUGGCAGGGGAGAUACCAUGAUCACCAAGGUGGUUUUCCCAGAGUAAGGCACAUCCAUUGCAUUGCGGGUGUGUUGACCAUUGUGAUUUCCCUUGAGAGGGCCAUUUAGGGAUCUGGGGCAAGAAGUUUUAUGGGGUUUGGUCCUGCUUUGAGUAGGGGGUUGGAUUAGAUGACCUCCUG
ensembl:snRNA U1 U1 spliceosomal RNA